GUCCCGUUCGUCUCAGGUGGACACCGCCCUUUCACGGCGGUAACAGAGGUCGGUGGUUCGACUCCCCUACGGGAUACCA
rnacentral:tRNA from 1 species